GAUGAACGCUGGCGGCGUGCCUAAUACAUGCGAGUCGAGCGAACAGACGAGGAGCUUGCUCCUCUGACGUUAGCGGCGGACGGGUGAGUAACACGUGGAUAACCUACCUAUAAGACUGGGAUAACUUCGGGAAACCGGAGCUAAUACCGGAUAAUAUAUUGAACCGCAUGGUUCAAUAGUGAAAGACGGUUUUGCUGUCACUUAUAGAUGGAUCCGCGCCGCAUUAGCUAGUUGGUAAGGUAACGGCUUACCAAGGCAACGAUGCGUAGCCGACCUGAGAGGGUGAUCGGCCACACUGGAACUGAGACACGGUCCAGACUCCUACGGGAGGCAGCAGUAGGGAAUCUUCCGCAAUGGGCGAAAGCUUGACGGAGCAACGCCGCGUGAGUGAUGAAGGUCUUCGGAUCGUAAAACUCUGUUAUUAGGGAAGAACAAAUGUGUAAGUAACUAUGCACGUCUUGACGGUACCUGAUCAGAAAGCCACGGCUAACUACGUG
rnacentral:rRNA from 1 species